rnacentral:rRNA from 1 species
CAAGCGGUGGAGUAUGUGGUUUAAUUCGAUGCAACACGAAGAACCUUACCAGGGUUUGAAAUCAUUCCAAAACUCCUUGAAAGAGGAGCCUCCUUCGGGAUGGAAUGACAGGUGGUGCAUGGCUGUCGUCAGCUCGUGUUGUGAAAUGUCGAGUUAAGUCUCGUAACGAGCGCAACCCAUGUCUUUUGUUGCUCACUGAGUGCUUAAAAGAGACUGCCGACCAACAUCGGAGGAAGGUGUGGAUGAUGUCAAGUCAGCAUGCCCCUUACAUCCUGGGCUACACACGUACUACAAUGGUAAGGACAAUGAGCUGCGACCCUGCGAAGGUUAGCCAAUCUCAAAAACCUUAUCUCAGUUCGGAUUGCACUCUGCAACUCGAGUGCAUGAAGGUGGAAUCGCUAGUAAUCGCUGGUCAGCUAUACAGCGGUGAAUACGUUCCCGGGUCUUGUACACACUGCCCGUCACACCAUGGAAGUCGACUCUUCCUCUAAGUCGUUACUCGAACCCAUUGGGGCGAGGAUGCCGAAGGCUAGGGUUGAUGACUGGGGUG